UCCUACGGGAGGCAGCAGUGGGGAAUAUUGGACAAUGGGCGAAAGCCUGAUCCAGCCAUGCCGCGUGUGUGAAGAAGGCCUUUUGGUUGUAAAGCACUUUAAGCGAGGAGGAGGCUACCGAGAUUAAUACUCUUGGAUAGUGGACGUUACUCGCAGAAUAAGCACCGGCUAACUCUGUGCCAGCACCCGCGGUAAUA
rnacentral:rRNA from 1 species